rnacentral:rRNA from 1 species
AACGAACGCUGGCGGCGCGCUUAACACAUGCAAGUCGAACGAGAAGGCGUAGCAAUACGCUUGUACAGUGGCGAACGGGUGAGUAAUACGUGGGCGACCUACCCUCGAGUGGGGAAUAACCCGCCGAAAGGCGGGCUAAUGCCGCGUACGCUUCCAUCUUUAUGGAGGUGGAAGGAAAGCCGUGCCGUGGGCACGGCGCUCAAGGAUGGGCUCACGUCCUAUCAGCUUGUUGGAGGGUAACGGCCUACCAAGGCUCCGACGGGUAGCUGGUCUGAGAGGACGAUCAGCCACACUGGCACUGCGACACGGGCCAGACUCCUACGGGAGGCAGCAGUGAGGAAUAUUGCGCAAUGGGCGAAAGCCUGACGCAGCGAUGCCGCGUGGGGGAUGAAGGUCUUCGGAUUGUAAACCCCUUUUCGGGAGGGAAGAUGGGACGGGCAACCGUUCGGACGGUACCUCCAGAAGCAGCCACGGCUAACUUCGUGCCAGCCGCCGCGGUAA